rnacentral:rRNA from 1 species
AUUGAACGCUGGCGGCAGGCCUAACACAUGCAAGUCGAACGGUAACAGGAAGAAGCUUGCUUCUUUGCUGACGAGUGGCGGACGGGUGAGUAAUGUCUGGGAAACUGCCUGAUGGAGGGGGAUAACUACUGGAAACGGUAGCUAAUACCGCAUAACGUCGCAAGACCAAAAAGGGGGACCUUCGGGCCUCUUGCCAUCGGAUGUGCCCAGAUGGGAUUAGCUAGUAGGUGGGGUAACGGCUCACCUAGGCGACGAUCCCUAGCUGGUCUGAGAGGAUGACCAGCCACACUGGAACUGAGACACGGUCCAGACUCCUACGGGAGGCAGCAGUGGGGAAUAUUGCACAAUGGGCGCAAGCCUGAUGCAGCCAUGCCGCGUGUAUGAAGAAGGCCUUCGGGUUGUAAAGUACUUUCAGCGGGGAGGAAGGGAGUAAAGUUAAUACCUCUGCUCAUUGACGUUACCCGCAGAAGAAGCACCGGCUAACUCCGUG